UAAGGAAGUAAGAAUUUUAUCUACGUACCUACUCAUCUGCAUCUGAUCUAUUCGAGUGAAUGAGUCAGUAGUGAAUGUUCGGAAGGACCAAAGACAGUGUACAGCCCGACAGUCUUCUAGACGCUGCCAGAGUUGAAAACUGCUUUCCUGAGUGGUGCAGAGGAAGGGAGAAUGAACCUGGUCAGCACGCUGCUGUUAAGGACCCGUGACAAGUGGGGGAAGGUGCAAAGCUGAGAUUGCAGAAACCCAGACACAGUCCCUCAUAAUUCGAUUGGCUGAACUACAAGGUAAAUUUAAUGCUCAGCCUCGAAGCAUAUCAGGAGCAAAGGUGAGGGCACUGGCUGGGAAAGAAUGGAAUGCCAUAAAUUGGGAUGGAGAUGUAUGGGAGGACUCUGAGAAAACUGAAGAUCCAGAAUUUCUGGAUGCUAAUGAAGUUAUUUUGCCUGAGGGAGAGAUUUCCCCACCUGAAGUGGCAGAGGCGUCACCCCCUCCACCCCCUGCUGUGUGGAGUCUCCUAGCAUACUUGGGGAAGCUAAUGCUAUGUUGACUAAACGGGAUUAUGCUGCUGCUCCUCAGGACACACGACUCACCCUUAACACUCGUUUUUGGCCUCCAGGCCCAUAACCAGGCUCAAAUCACAGAAAGCGCCUAUAGGUGAGAUACAUAGUGUGACCCAUGAAGAGGUUCGCUAUACUCCCAAAGAGCUUCUUGAGUUUUCCAACUCUUAUAGGCAGAGGCCUGAUGAGCAAGCAUGGGAUUGGAUUUUACAAGUGUGGGAUAAUGGUGGCAAAAAUAUAUAUCUGGAUCAGGCUGAAUUUGUUGAUAUAGGCCCAUUAAGUAGGGAUUCUGAAUUUAAUGUCAUAGCUCGUGGAAUGAAGAAAGGUGCUAAUAGUUUAUUUGGAUGGUUGGCAGAGAUAUGGAUCAAAAGAUGGCCCACUGUGAAUGAGUUAGAGAUGCCUGAUAUUCCAUGGUUUACUAUUGAUGAGGGGAUUCAGAGGCUCAGGGAAAUGGGAAUGCUGGAGUAGAUCUGUCAAGUUAAACCUAAUCCUCCACAUUAGGAUGAUUCAGAAAACAUACCUUCACCAGCACCUUGGGAAACAGAUUUGUGAGGGGAGCACCAGCAUCCCUGAAGGGCCCUGCUAUUGCUCUUUGCAUGCCAGACCUUACAGUGGGGACUGCAGUUACUCAAUUAGGACAUUUAAGGGCAAUGGGCUUGAUUGAGUCCUGGAGUGGCAGAGGUCAAGUGGCGGCACUUAAUCGCCAAAAGUAAUGGACAGCAAAGGCGGAACAAUGACCAGAAUAAUCUAACAUGUGCAGACCUCUGGUGUUGGCUGAUUAGCCAUGGCGUUCCUAGAAGUGAAAUAGACAGGAAGCCUACAAAAUUUUUACUAGAUUUAUAUAAUAAAAAAAAUUACGGGCAAAUGAACAGAACUUUACAUCAAAUCAUGGCAACAGGGAAUCAUGGCCCCUCAACCAGUUCCCAGAUCUGAGCCAGUUUACAGACCCAGAACCCCUUGAAUGAUGGGGAGGCCUGGUCCCCUUGGAGAAGGACUCUGAUGCACCAAAAAUUUACAAUGUAAAUCUUUCUCCCAUCCUUCCCCAGAGGGACCUAAGGCCUUUUGCCCGAGUGACUGUCCACUGGGGGAAGGGGAUUACUGGACAUUGGUUCUGAACUAACACCGAUUCCAGGGGAUCCAAAACGUCACUGUGGCCCUCCAGUAAGAGUAGGGGCCUAUGGAGGUUUAGCAAAGGUCCGACUUACAGUGGGUCCAAUAGGUCCUCGGAUUCACCCUGUAGUUAUUUCCCCUGUUCCAGAAUGUAUAAUUGGGAUUGAUGUACUUAGUACCUGGCAGAAUCCUCACAUUGGUUCCCUAACCUGUAAUAUGAGGGCUAUCAUGGUUGAGAAGGCCAAAUGGAAGCCACUAAAGUUGCCUUUGCCUGGUAAAAUAGUAAACCAGAAGCAGUAUCGCAUUCCUGGAGGGAUCCAAGAGGUUACUGCCACCAUCAAGGACUUAAAGGAUGCAGAGGUGUUGUGCCCACCAUAUCUCCAUUUAACUCUCCCACUUGGCCUGUGCAGAAGACAGAUGGGUCUUGGAGAAUGACUGUGGAUUACCGUAAACUGAAUCAAGUGGUGACUCCAAUCGCAGCUGCAGGACCAGACGUGGCUUCCUUGCUUGAGCUGAUUAACACAUCUCCUGGUACCUGGUAUGCAGCUAUCGAUUUGGCAAAUGCCUUUUUCUCCAUACCUAUCCAUAAGGAUCAUCAGAAACAAUUUGCUUUUAGCUGGCAAGGCCAGCAAUAUACCUUCACAGUCUUACCUCAGGGGUAUAUUAACUCGAUAGCCCUAUGUCAUAAUUUGGCUCGAAGGGUUCUUGAUCCCUUUUCUCUGCCACAGGAUAUCACACUGGUCUAUUACAUUGAUGAUGUUAUGCUGAUUGGGCCUAGUGAGCAGGAGGUAGCAACUGCACUGGAUUCCUUAGUAAGGCAUUUGAGAGCCAGAGGAUGGGAAAUAAAUCCAACAAAAAUUCAAGGUCCCUCUACUUCAGUGAAAUUUCUAGGAGUCCAGUGGUAUGGAGCAUGUAGAGAUAUCCCUUCUAAGGUAAAAGAUAAAUUGUUGCAUCUGGCUUCUCCUACAACUAAAAAGGAGGCACAACGCUUAGUGGGCCUAUUUGGAUUUUGGAGGCAACACAUUCCUCAUUUAGGUGUCUUAACCUGUAAUAUGGUUACUGCCACCAUCAAGGACUUAAAGGAUGCAGAGGUGUCCCAUUUACCGAGUGACUCGGAAAGCUGCUCAUUUUGAGUGGGGCUCAGAACAGGAAAAGGCUUUGCAACAAGUCAAGGCUGCUGUGGGUCUGCUCUUCCACUGGGGCCGUAUGAUCCAACAGAUCGAGGUGUCAGUAACAAACAAAGAUGCUGUUUGGAGUCUCUGGCAGGCCCCCAUUGGUGAAUUACAGCGGAGGCCUUUAGGAUUUUGGAGUAAGGCUCUGCCAUCGUCUGCAGACAACUACUCUCCCUUUGAGAAACAGCUGUUGGCCUGCUACUGGGCCCUAGUGGAAACUGAACGCUUGACUAUGGGACACCAGGUCACCAUGCGACCUGAGUUGCCUAUCAUGGCCUGGAUAUUAUCUGACCCACCAAGUCAUAAAGUUGGACAUGCCCAGCAACAGUCUAUCAUUAAAUAGAAGUGGUAUAUUCGUGAUUGAGCCAGAGCAGGCCCAGAAGGUACAGUAAAUUACAUGAGGAAGUUGCCCAAAUACCCAUGGCUCCUAUACCUGCUAUGUUGCCUUCAGUUCUCCAGCAUGCACCUAUAGCCUUGUGGGGUGUUCCAUAUGAUCAGUUAUCAGAGGACGAGAAGACUAGGGCCUGGUUUACGGAUGGCUCUGCACGUUAUGCUGGCACCACCCGCAAGUGGACAGCUGCAGCAUUACAGCCCCUUUCUGGGACAUCCUUAAAAGACAGUGGUGAAGGGAAAUCCUCACAGUGGGCAGAACUUCGAGCAGUGCACUUGGUAGUACAUUUUGGCUGGAAAAAGAAAUGGCCAGAUGUGAGAUUGUAUACUGAUUCAUGGGCUGUAGCCAAUGGUCUAGCUGGAUGGUCAGGAACUUGGAAGGAACAUAAUUGGAAAACUGGUGACAAAGAUAUUUGGGGAAGAGGUAUGUGGAUAGACCUCUCUAUAUGGGCAAAGGAUAUGAAAAUAUUUGUUUCCCAUGUAAAUGCUCACCAAAAGGUAACAUCAGCAGAAGACAACUUUACUAAUCAAGUGGAUAAAAUGACUCGUUCUCUGGACAGUAGCCAACCUCCUUCUUGAGCCACCCCAGUCAUUGCCCAAUGGGCCCAUGAACAGAGUGGCCAUGGUGGCAGGGAUGGAGGGUAUGCAUGGGUUCAGCAACAUGGACUGCCACUGACCAAGGCUGAUCUGGCUACAGUCACUGCUGAAUGCCCACUAUGCCAGCAGCAGAGGCCAACACUGAGUCCCCGAUAUGGCAGCAUUCCCCGAGGUGAUCAACCUGCAACUUGGUGGCAGGUUGAUUAUGUUGGACCACUUCCAUCAUGGAAGGGACUGCGCUUUGUCAUCACUGGCAUAGAUACCUAUUCUGGAUAUGGCUUUGCCUUUGCUGCACGUAAUGCUUCUGCGAAGACUACCAUCCGUGGGCUCACGGAAUGCCUUAUCCGUCAUGGAAUUCCACAUAGCAUUGCCUCUGACCAAGGGACACAUUUCACAGCUAAAGAAGUGAGACAGGGGGCAUAUGCUCAUGGAAUUCACUGGUCCUACCAUGUCCCUCAGCAUCCAGAAGCAGUUGGAUUGAUAGAAAGAUGGAAUGGCCUUUUGAAGACACAAUUACAACACCAGCUAGGUGGCAAUAGUUUGCAAGGCUGGGGUAAAGUACUUCAACAGGCUGUGUAUGCUUUGAAUCAACGUCCAUUAUAUGGCACUGUGUCUCCCAUAGCCAGGAUUCAUGGAUCCUGGAAUUAAGGGGUGGAAGUAGGAAUGGUGCCACUCACCAUCACCCCUAGUGAUCCACUAGCAAAAUUCUUGCUUCCUGUCCCCACGACUUCAUGUUCUGCUGGCCUAGAAGUUUUGGUUCCAGAGCGGGGAAGGCUUAUACCAGGAAACACGACAAUGGUACCAUUGAACUGGAAGCUAAGACUUCCCCCUGGUCAUUUUGGUCUCCUCAUGCCUCGGAGGAAACAAGCUAAAAGGGAGUCACAGUGUUGUCAGGGGUGAGUGAUCCACACUAUGAAGGGGAAGUUGGACUACUACUCCUCAAUGGAGGAAAGGAAGAAUAUACACGGAGUGCAGGAGAUUCCUUAGGGUGCCUUUUAGUACUACUACGCCCUGUCAUUGAGGUCAAUGGAAAAUUACAGCAACCUAAUCCAGACGAAGUGACAGUGGUCCAGAACCUUCAGGGAUAAAGGUAUGGGUCACUCCACCGGGGAAAGAACAGAGACCUGCUGAGGUGCUUGCUGAAGGCCAAGGGAAUACAGAAUGGGCAGUGGAAGAAGGAAGUUCUAAAUACCAGCUACGACCCCAUGAUCAGUUACAGAAAAGAGGAUUAUGAUUACUAUUUCUCCCCACAUACGGUUCUAAUGUAACAUAAUGUUAGACGUAAUGCUGUGUUUUGGGAAGUGUUAAACUUGUGUUAUAAUGUUAAGCUUAUGAACUGAUAAGGAGUAAGCAUCAACCAAAGAAAAGUUACAUUGUGUAUUUUGGUAGGAGAACUGUUGUGUUUCUGUUUGUACAAGGGCAGUUAUAACAUGUUAGGUGCGAUUAUAUGCAUGUUUGUUUAUCUGGAACUAAGAAAUGUGUCUGGUUGCCAAGCUGACAAGGGGUGGAUUGUAGUGGUUGAUUGAUUGUGUCAACUUGAGACAGUUAGAAGCUAACUAAAUGGGUUUAGCAAUUCUAUACCCAAGGAUGGAGAAGAAGACUCACCCUAGGGUGGGUCAUCACCUGAGGUAUAAAAGGGGAGGAGGAAGGCCGAAUCCAUUCCAUUCUUGGGAGAAGCUCCAGUCUUUGCCUUUGGUUUGGACCUCGCCUCCUGGCUUUCAGUACAGACUCUUCAGCUUCCCAGUGUAGACUCUUCAGCUUUUCAUCACAGAGCCUUCGGCCUUCUGUCUCAGACCCAUCAGCCUGCUGGUGUGGACUUGCACAAGACACUAGGGUGAACUCCAGACCUUGGAGUGAAUCCUUCGGCCUCCAGUGCAUAGAUACCCUCUGCACGCUUCCUCAUCGGACUCUGUGACUGACUAUCGUAAGCCAAUCUUGUUGUUUCUGUAUAUCCUGGGUUAUAUCUGUUCUCUCUAGUAAAAUCCUGACCAAUACAGCCUAUAAAGGAAAACCCAUCAGAAUCAUGGCAGACUUCUUGACAUAAAUGAUCAAGUCAAGGAGAGUUUGGAGUGAAGUAUUUCAAGUCCUGAAGGAAAACAACUUCCAACCCAGAUUGAUGUACCCUGAAAAACUUUCAAAAUUAAUGGAGAAAUAAGAUACUCCUAUGACAAAAAACAACUGAAGGAAUCCAUGACCACCAAACCAACCUACAAAGAAUACUGAAGGACAUUCUAGAGAGAGAUAAAAAUGACCACGGGUCCAGGAACAGCAGCAGAGGGGGAUUGCCAAGUGUGGCAGGCAGUUGAACAGAGAGGAAAAGUCGGGAGCCAACCACAAGAAAAUGGCAAGCCAGAGACGAGCCAGUGCAUGCUGGCCGUAACCAUUAGUGUAGGUGGCCUCAAGUCACUAAUAAGAAAUACAGGCAGAGUGGAUCAGGAGACAAGAUUCAUCAAUAUGCUUUAUACAAAAAAUACAUUUAACACAAAAGGACAUUCAUAGACUGAAACUCAGAGAGAAACAAUGCUCCAUAUGAUAGGGAAGCAGAAAAAAGCAGGGGUAGCCUGCCAUCAACCGCAGAACGGAUAGGAAAGAUAUGGCAUGUUUAUAUGGAAAGCUACUCAGCUAUAAAGAAGGAUAGUCACGAGGCUUUCCUAGGUAAAUGGAUGCAACUUGAGAUCAUGCUUAUGGGUGAAAUGGUUUGGAUUCACACGAUGAACAUUGUGUUGUCUCCCUAGUGUAAAAAGCUGAAGAAGUUAGUGGGAUCCAAAAUGUACACUAGGUAUUGUGAAAGUGAGGGGGGUGGGGGAAAUGCCUAAAAAGGGAAAGUGGUAGCCAUUGUUGAUUUCGCAUUGUCUUUUUUGGAGGCCUGUAUUGCAUUCACUGUUUUAUUUUGAUUGACUCUAUUCUGUUUUAUUUGGUUUCGUUUUUUCACUUUAAAAUUUUAAAAAAAGUGGUUUUGUUGUUGUUUGGUACUGGGAGUCAUACUCAGGGCCUUGGGCUUGCCAGGCUGUGCCACAGAACACAAGUGAUUUCUUACCUUUGCUGGAAAACUUCACAGCAUUGAGACCAUUUGAGCAGCAUCAGAAGGGAAUAUCAGAGUCCAUGCAGUGCGGAGGAAGAUAUGUGAGGGGCAAGAAAGAUGGCUCACUUGGAUGGCGGGUAACAGCCACAUCUGGGAAGCUGGAAGGAAACACUUGUACCCCUGCCUCUCCAUCUGCCACCUAUGUAACCUCCAACCAAUGCCACGAACUGCCAUCUCCUCAUCCAUAAAAGAGUGGUACCAUGUGUCCCAUCAAGUUGUUGGGAGCUUUUGAGGAGAAGAUACAGGCAAAAUACGAUGCCUUGUCCAGAGAAAGCGCUCAAUGCCUGCUUUGUUUUCCGUACUAUUAUUGCUGGAAGCAGGCCACUGAGGCAGUGCCCCAGAGCUGCCCACGCCUCCUCCAGAGAGGAACUCCAUCUGCCAGGCCUUGUCCCUCCUUGAGCAACGCAAGUCUGCAGAGCAGGAGCAGGGUGGGGACCUGGUGCCUGAAGACUCCACUGCAGAAUGAAGAAUGGGAGGAGGCCGUGGCUCCUUGCAGGCUCCAGAAGUCUUUGGGUCCACCCCCCUUUCCCAGGCAGGACAUGAGCUCUUCCAUCCCCAGAACCUUUUGAUGAGGUGACAGGUUCAAAUCCUUGUGGUCCGGCCUGGCCUGCCUCGCUCCCGGCAUCAUCUGCAGCCCUCUUGGAAUCGCAGACUGUAGUCGGCUCAGCAGAGUUAACUGAGCAAGUGUUUACUUGGCUGUGCUGGGAGACAACAAGCGGAAAGGAAAAACAGCAGCAGCUGCCAGUGAGCUGAACCUGGCGGCUCGAGUGUGAGCUCUCAGGAGGCUCAGGAGGCGUGGCUGAUGCUGACCCUGUGGCCUGCGUCCUGGGAAGGCGGCAAAGCGACCUGAACACCAGUGAAUGAGCACAAAGAAUAAAAACCAAAGUCUGAACCCUUGAGUUGCUAACAGGAUUAUUCAGCCGCCUGUACGAACUGUCAGAUGAAACUCCUCUGACCCUGAAAGGGGAAGGCGGUGGGUUAGGCUGAAAACUAAUGGCAGUGUUUGUAAUGUGUAUGAACCGGCUUUAUCACCUUGUGUCCAAAUAGCUGGCCCGUCUUUCCGUGUUUCUGGGGGCCUAAGGCAGGUAGAGAACCAGGCACCGUCCCCUAAUUUACAUUGCUGAAGAAGUAGGUGCAGAUUGUGAAAUCAUUCCCUGAGAGGUGGGUGAGCUCCCAUCCCUGCCCCACAACGCCCAGGGGACCUGGGGGCAGAGGCAGGGGAGGAGAAACAGUGCAAAACACCUUCUCCUAUUGUGCUUUUCCAUCUCCCCAACUAGAUUUGAAGUCGGUAGGGGAUCAAUUCUGCGCCCUUUUUUUGUAGCCACUGUGGUGCCUUCAUGGAGUAGGUGGUCAGCCCGGUGUUUGUUUGCUGUAUUCAUGUAAAUGCUUGUGUAUGUGAGGUACCUGGUAGUUGCUAAGUGAAUAAACUUAAUAUGGCCUUUUUCGGA